rnacentral:rRNA from 1 species
CAGUCGCCGCGGUAAUACGUAGGUGGCAAGCGUUGUCCGGAAUUAUUGGGCGUAAAGCGCGCGCAGGUGGUUUAAUAAGUCUGAUGUGAAAGCCCACGGCUCAACCGUGGAGGGUCAUUGGAAACUGUUAAACUUGAGUGCAGGAGAGAAAAGUGGAAUUCCUAGUGUAGCGGUGAAAUGCGUAGAGAUUAGGAGGAACACCAGUGGCGAAGGCGACUCUCUGGUCUGUAACUGACGCUGGGGAGCGAAAGCGUGGGGAGCGAACAGGAUUAGAUACCCGCGUAGUCCCUGUCUCUUAACA